rnacentral:rRNA from 1 species
ACCUUCACUUUUAGUUGCCAUCAUUUAGUUGGGCACUCUGAAAGAACUGCCAGUGAUAAGCUGGAGGAAGGUGGGGAUGACGUCAAGUCCUCAUGGCCCUUAUGUGUUGGGCUACACACGUGCUACAAUGGCAUUUACAAUAGGAAGCAAGAUGGCGACAUUAAGCAAAUCCUAAAAAAAUGCCUCAGUUCGGAUUGUACUCUGCAACUCGAGUACAUGAAGCUGGAAUUACUAGUAAUCGCGGAUCAGCGUGCCGCGGUGAAUACGUUCCCGGGUCUU